rnacentral:rRNA from 1 species
ACGGAGGGGGCUAGCGUUGUUCGGAAUUACUGGGCGUAAAGCGCACGUAGGCGGCUUUGUAAGUUAGAGGUGAAAGCCCGGGGCUCAACUCCAGAACUGCCACUGAAACUGUUGGACUUGAGUACGAGAGAGGUGAGUGGAAUUCCCAGUGUAGAGGUGAAAUUUGUAGUUAUUGGGAAGAACACCAGUGGCGAAGGCGGCUCACUGGCUCGUAACUGACGCUCAGGCGCGACAGCGUGGGGAUCAAACAGGA